rnacentral:rRNA from 1 species
UACGUAGGGCGCAAGCGUUAUCCGGAAUUAUUGGGCGUAAAGAGCUCGUAGGCGGUUUGUCGCGUCUGCCGUGAAAGUCCGGGGCUCAACUCCGGAUCUGCGGUGGGUACGGGCAGACUAGAGUGAUGUAGGGGAGACUGGAAUUCCUGGUGUAGCGGUGAAAUGCGCAGAUAUCGAGAGGAACACCUGCGGCGAAGGCGGGUUGCUGGGCUGACACUGACGCUGACAGCGCGAAAGCUAGGGGAGCGAACGGG